rnacentral:tRNA from 1 species
UCCACCACGUUCUUGCGUGGCACCGACGCGACUAACAGCUAGCGAAUGGCUAUUGAUCAUUGGGUCCCUGGUUCGAGUCCAGGUCGUGGAGCCA